rnacentral:rRNA from 1 species
CCUACGGGAGGCAGCAGUGGGGAAUAUUGGACAAUGGGCGAAAGCCUGAUCCAGCAAUGCCGCGUGAGUGAUGAAGGCCUUCGGGUCGUAAAGCUCUUUUACCAGGGAUGAUAAUGACAGUACCUGGAGAAUAAGCUCCGGCUAACUCCGUGCCAGCAGCCGCGGUAAUACGGAGGGAGCUAGCGUUGUUCGGAAUUACUGGGCGUAAAGAGUACGUAGGCGGUUAUUCAAGUCAGAGGUGAAAGCCCGGGGCUCAACCCCGGAACUGCCUUUGAAACUAGAUAACUAGAGUCUUGGAGAGGUUAGUGGAAUUCCGAGUGUAGAGGUGAAAUUCGUAGAUAUUCGGAAGAACACCAGUGGCGAAGGCGACUAACUGGACAAGUACUGACGCUGAGGUACGAAAGCGUGGGGAGCAAACAGGAUUAGAUACCCUGGUAGUCCACGCCGUAAACGAUGAUAACUAGUUGUUCGGUCACUUGGUGACUGAGUGACGCAGCUAACGCAUUAAGUUAUCCGCCUGGGGAUACGGUUGCAAGAUUAAAACUCAAAUGAAUUGACGGCUGAGAGNGCGAGACGACGACGAGGAGAG